UAAAGACAUAUUAAAAUACCGGUCAAUACGAACAACAGUUUAAAAUCCAAAGAAUUUGGCGGUGUCUUAUAUAAUCAGGGGAACCUGUUUCUUAAUUCGAUACUCCACGAAAUUUAAUCCUUGUUUUGAAUCUCAGCCUGUGUACUGCUGUCGCCAGUAAACCUCUAUAAGAAAGUUUACAAAAAUAAUUUAAUUAUAUACGUCAAGUCAAAGUGCAGCUAAUAACUAGGAGAACAAUGGGUUACAAUCUAAAAAAAGAUUACGAAUUAAUUAAACAAAAAAAUUAUGAAGGUGGACUUGAAAGUAAUAUUUAUAUAAAAAAAAUAUAAAUUAAAAUCUAAGACAUGCACACAUCGCCCGUCGCUCUCGUCUUAA
rnacentral:rRNA from 1 species